rnacentral:rRNA from 1 species
AACGAACGCUGGCGGCAUGCCUAACACAUGCAAGUCGGACGCGUGGUUUCGGCCACGAGUGGCGGACGGGUGAGUAACGCGUGGGAACCUGCCCAUCGGUACGGAACAACCGCGGGAAACUGCGGCUGAUACCGUAUAUACCCUGCGGGGGAAAGAUUUAUCGCCGAUGGAGGGGCCCGCGUCGGAUUAGGUAGUUGGUGGGGUAACGGCCUACCAAGCCUGCGAUCCGUAGCUGGUCUGAGAGGAUGAUCAGCCACACUGGGACUGAGACACGGCCCAGACUCCUACGGGAGGCAG